GAGUUUGAUCCUGGCUCAGAUUGAACGCUGGCGGCAUGCCUUACACAUGCAAGUCGAACGGCAGCAUGAUCUAGCUUGCUAGAUUGAUGGCGAGUGGCGAACGGGUGAGUAAUACAUCGGAACGUGCCCUGUAGUGGGGGAUAACUAGUCGAAAGAUUAGCUAAUACCGCAUACGACCUGAGGGUGAAAGUGGGGGACCGCAAGGCCUCAUGCUAUAGGAGCGGCCGAUGUCUGAUUAGCUAGUUGGUGGGGUAAAGGCCCACCAAGGCGACGAUCAGUAGCUGGUCUGAGAGGACGAUCAGCCACACUGGGACUGAGCACGGCCCAGACUCCUACGGGAGGCAGCAGUGGGGAAUUUUGGACAAUGGGCGAAAGCCUGAUCCAGCAAUGCCGCGUGUGUGAAGAAGGCC
rnacentral:rRNA from 1 species